GUGGCAGUGAGGAAAAACCUUGCGGGUUGGAAACAAGGACACAACCCCGCGAGUUUUCGAA
rnacentral:ncRNA from 1 species